rnacentral:rRNA from 1 species
AUUGAACGCUGGCGGCAGGCCUAACACAUGCAAGUCGAACGAGUGGCGGACGGGUGGGCUAUGUCUGGGAAACUGCGUGGUGGAGGGGGAUCGCAACUGGACACGGUAGCUACUACCGCAUACCAUCAGAUGGGCCCAGAUGGGAUUAGCUUGUUGGUGGGGUAAAGGCGCACCAAGGCGACGAUCCCUAGCUGGUCUGAGAGGAUGACCAGCCACACUGGAACUGAGACACGGUCCAGACUCCUACGGGAGGCAGCAGUGGGGAAUAUUGCACAAUGGGCGCAAGCCUGAUGCAGCCAUGCCGCGUGUAUGAAGAAGGCCUUCGGGUUGUAAAGUACUUUCAGUGGGGAGGCGUUACCAGCAGAAGAAGCACCGGCUAACUCCGUGCCAGCAGCCGCGGUAAUAC